rnacentral:tRNA from 1 species
GCCGAGGUCGCAUAGCCUGGUAUUGCGCAGGAUUGCUAAUCCUGUUCCUUCGGGAAUCCUGGGUUCAAAUCCCAGCCUCGGCG